rnacentral:rRNA from 1 species
GACGAACGCUGGCGGCGUGCUUAACACAUGCAAGUCGAACGGAAAGGCCCUGCUUUUGUGGGGUGCUCGAGUGGCGAACGGGUGAGUAACACGUGAGUAACCUGCCCUUGACUUUGGGAUAACUUCAGGAAACUGGGGCUAAUACCGGAUAGGAGCUCCUGCUGCAUGGUGGGGGUUGGAAAGUUUCGGCGGUUGGGGAUGGACUCGCGGCUUAUCAGCUUGUUGGUGGGGUAGUGGCUUACCAAGGCUUUGACGGGUAGCCGGCCUGAGAGGGUGACCGGCCCACAUGGGGGGAGGGAGACGGCCCAACGACUCCGGGGGGGGACAGGGGGGGAAUAUUGCACAAAGGGGGGGAGCGCGUGACGGAACAGCGCCGUGGGGAGGUAGGGCGUUCGGGUUGUAACACCCUUUCGCCUGGGAGAAGGAGGAAGGAAGGGAAAUGGGUAAAAAGCACCGGCCAACUUCCGG